GUUUUAAGUUGUUUUAUGAACCAUAACAUGCAGUCUUUCGUGGACAGUUGGUUAUUUCAUGAUAUUAGUAGAAGUUGAUAAAUUUCAGGUUAGGCAUCCAUUGUUGUGAUUGUAGCCUCUCUUGCCGAGUUUCCCUCUGUUUGUUCUAAUUACAAAUUUUGUAAUAAAAUGAUGGAAUAUAAGUCAUUUGCUAGCAAUUGUGAUAAAUAGGAACAAGGCACAAUAACUUGGUAAGGGCUUGUUAAUGCUUUUUACUUCUUCAAUCAAUGCUAUAUUAUGCUAAAAAUCUUCCAUGUAAUUAUAGGCAUUUAGGUGUCCCUGGAUUUGCUGGUGGAAACUGUCUUUUUAAAUAUCCUUCAUAUAUCAUAUAGGUAUAAAGUUCAUAAACUUUUUCCCCUUCAUCUUGAUUUUGAAGAAUUCACUCACUGGUUGUGGUAGUUUACAAAACCAGUGAGGCAGGUAGUUUACAAAACCAGUGAUAGACCUAAAGCUGUUUAUGCUGUCGCUAGAUGUUUGAUUUACGUGAGUAAUUCGACAAUUUCUCCCAUUUUUUCUUACGCGCUGUUAGUCAGAUUUUCUAGAUGUUUUUAUUGGUACCUGGAGGCUGGAAUAGACGAUCAAUAAAGCGAAGUAUCCUACAGGCUUAAAUCACGGUGUAAUCUCUACAUUGCUUCCAAUCAUCUUCUCAGAAGGAAAUAGGAAAAGAAAGUAGAACAGUUAGUCCUAGCGUGCUUCUAUCACGACAAUUAACUUGAAUUUGGACUUUUUGAUCGAGUUCCGUCCAAUUCUGUUAAAAUGCUGCACAUAACCUCAUCAAUUUGCUGCAGACUCAGACGCCACUUAGAGUCUGGUUGGAUAACUAGGUUCAUAAUUGUGGAUUCUUCAAAUGGGUAUCUGAUGAAGAGGAGUUUGAAGGUUCAAAGACAGUGCUUGUUCAGACAAAGCCGUCGAGCGUGAGGCCGCAAGUUUCAAGAGCCGUGUCAAGUGGAGAAUUGCGGGAAAAGAGAAAGAUUGAGAUUGAUAUUAUGGAUUUGUUGAAGCUUGUUGUAUUUGCUCUUUUAUUCGGUAUUUUUCUUGGAUUUGUAUUUGGUAUUUUUAUUGGAUUUGUGCUAAGUAGAGUGUAAGAAUGUAUUAUCCUUCUUUGUGGAAGUGUAUGUUGAUGAGAACUUCUGUUGUUCUGGAUUUGUAUCUUCAGAAAAAUUAGAUUAGUAAUUUGUUUUAUA